rnacentral:tRNA from 1 species
GGGGAUAUGGUGUAACGGCAGCCACGGCAGACUCAAAAUCUGCUGCUCGAAAGAGCGUGACGGUUCAAGUCCGUCUAUCCCCACCA